rnacentral:rRNA from 1 species
AACGAACGCUGGCGGCAGGCUUAACACAUGCAAGUCGAGCGCAUCCUUCGGGGUGAGCGGCGGACGGGUGAGUAACGUGUGGGAACGUGCCCUCUUCUACGGAAUAGCCUCGGGAAACUGAGAGUAAUGCCGUAUACGCCCGCAAGGGGAAAGAUUUAUCGGAGGAGGAUCGGCCCGCGUUGGAUUAGGUAGUUGGUGGGGUAACGGCCUACCAAGCCGACGAUCCAUAGCUGGUUUGAGAGGAUGAUCAGCCACACUGGGACUGAGACACGGCCCAGACUCCUACGGGACGCAGCAGUGGGGAAUCUUGGACAAUGGGGGCAACCCUGAUCCAGCCAUGCCGCGUGAUCGAUGAAGGCCUUAGGGUUGUAAAGAUCUUUCAGCUGGGAAGAUAAUGACGGUACCAGCAGAAGAAGCCCCGGCUAACUCCGUG